rnacentral:tRNA from 1 species
CGAGCAGUGGCGCAGCCGGUAGCGCACGUGGUUCGGGACCACGGGGCCGCGGGUUCGAAUCCCGCCUGCUCGA